rnacentral:rRNA from 1 species
UACGGGAGGCAGCAGUGGGGAAUAUUGCACAAUGGGCGCAAGCCUGAUGCAGCCAUGCCGCGUGUAUGAAGAAGGCCUUCGGGUUGUAAAGUACUUUCAGUCGUGAGGAAGGUGUUAAGGUUAAUAACCUUAGCAAUUGACGUUAGCGACAGAAGAAGCACCGGCUAACUCCGUGCCAGCAGCCGCGGUAAUACGGAGGGUGCGAGCGUUAAUCGGAAUUACUGGGCGUAAAGGGCACGCAGGCGGUUAAUUAAGUUGGAUGUGAAAUCCCCGGGCUUAACCUGGGAAUGGCAUUCAAGCUGGUUAGCUAGAGUCUUGUAGAGGGGGUAGAAUUCCAUGUGUAGCGGUGAAAUGCGUAGAGAUGUGGAGGAAUACCGGUGGCGAAGGCGGCCCCUGGACAAAGGCUGACGCUCAUGUGCGAAAGCGUGGGGAGCAAAC